UACGUAGGGACCAAGCGUUGUUCGGAUUUACUGGGCGUAAAGGGCGCGUAGGCGGCGCGGUAAGUCACUUGUGAAAUCUCUGAGCUUAACUCAGAACGGCCAAGUGAUACUGCAGUGCUAGAGUGCGGAAGGGGCAAUCGGAAUUCUUGGUGUAGCGGUGAAAUGCGUAGAUAUCAAGAGGAACACCUGAGGUGAAGACGGGUUGCUGGGCCGACACUGACGCUGAGGAGCGAAAGCGUGGGGAGCAAACAGG
rnacentral:rRNA from 1 species